rnacentral:tRNA from 2 species
GCCAGCGUAGCUCAGACGGCAGAGCAGCUGAUUCGUAAUCAGCAGGUCAGGAGUUCGAUUCUCCUCGCUGGCUCCA